rnacentral:ncRNA from 1 species
AGCAUCAUGAAGACGGAAGCUUUCGGGCUGUCACUUCAUACCUCCCUGUUGGACUUGGCCGAGCUUCGCGCUCGGCCUUUUUU